UACGUAGGUGGCAAGCGUUGUCCGGAUUUAUUGGGCUUAAAGGGUGCGUAGGCGGUCUUUUAAGUCAGUGCUGAAAUAUCCCGGCUUAACCGGGAGGGUGGCAUUGAUACUGAAGGACUUGAGUUCAGUCGAGGUAGGCGGAAUUGACGGUGUAGCGGUGAAAUGCUUAGAUAUCGUCAAGAACACCGAUAGUGUAGACAGCUUACUAGGCUGAAACUGACGCUGAGGCACGAAAGUGUGGGGAUCAAACAGG
rnacentral:rRNA from 1 species